UACGUAGGGUGCAAGCGUUAUUCGGAAUUACUGGGCGUAAAGCGUGCGCAGGCGGCUAUGCAAGACAGAUGUGAAAUCCCCGGGCUCAACCUGGGAACUGCAUUUGUGACUGCAUGGCUAGAGUACGGUAGAGGGGGAUGGAAUUCCGCGUGUAGCAGUGAAAUGCGUAGAUAUGCGGAGGAACACCGAUGGCGAAGGCAAUCCCCUGGACCUGUACUGACGCUCAUGCACGAAAGCGUGGGGAGCAAACAGG
rnacentral:rRNA from 1 species